rnacentral:rRNA from 1 species
GACGAACGCUGGCGGCGUGCUUAACACAUGCAAGUCGAACGGAAAGGCCCCCUUGUGGGGUACUCGAGUGGCGAACGGGUGAGUAACACGUGAGUAACCUACCCUUGCCUUUGGGAUAACUUCAGGAAACUGGGGCUAAUCCCGGAUCGGAGCUCCUGCUGCCUGGUGGGGGUUGGAAAGUUUAGGCGGUUGGGGAUGGGCUCGCGGCUUAUCAGCUUGUUGGUGGGGUAGUGGCCCACCAAGGCUUUGAGGGGUAGCCGGCCUGAGAGGGUGCCCGGCCACAUUGGGACUGAGAUACGGCCCAGACUCCUACGGGAGGCAGCAGUGGGGAAGAGUGCACAAGGGGCGGAAGCCUGAUGCAGCAACGCCGCGUGCGGGAUGACGGCCUGCGGGUUGUAAACCGCUUUCGCCUGUGACGAAGCGUGAGUGACGGUAAUGGGUAAAGAAGCACCGGCUAACUACGUG